rnacentral:rRNA from 1 species
UACGUAGGCAGCGAGCGUUGUUCGGAGUUACUGGGCGUAAAGGGUGUGUAGGCGGUUGUUUAAGUUUGGUGUGAAAUCUCCCGGCUCAACUGGGAGGGUGCGCCGAAUACUGAAUGACUUCGAGUGCGGGAGAGGAGAGUGGAAUUCCUGGUGUAGCGGUGAAAUGCGUAGAUAUCAGGAGGAACACCGGUGGCGAAGGCGGGUCUCUGGGCCGAUAUUGACGCUGAGGAGCGAAAGCGUGGGGAGCAAACAGG